rnacentral:tRNA from 1 species
CACGGUCUACCUGGCGUGGUGCGAGGGGGUGGCCCGCGCCCACGCCCUGCGGCUGGGCAUGGGCACAGACGCCCUGAUCGCCCUGGGGGCCGUGCCC